AGCGUAGCGAUACGUUGAGCUAACCGAUACUAAUGAACCGUGAGGCUUAACCUUACAACGCCGAAGGUGUUU
rnacentral:rRNA from 1 species